UAUGAAUUUUACAAUGUGGACGUCAAACUUAAUUUAAGAUUGGCAGUUGGCAGUUGCCAGUUGGCACCUAAGCUUACUUAUGCUCACAUAAACAUAGAUAAUAUCUAUGCACAUAAAUCUAGGGCCUUUUGAAAAAAUGAGUGUAUUUGGCAGCCCAGUUUUUAGCCUAUCGGUACUUGCUGGAAUGAACACUCACUUAGAAUUGGGUAAAUUACCAUUGGAAACCAAAUGUACAAUUAAUUUUAUAAAUAUAAUGGAUAAACUUUUUGAUAUUUUUAAUUCGUGUAAAAUACCAAAUAGAAAAUCAUACAGAAGACCUUUUAAAAAUACAUCAAUACAAAUAGAACAUCUUUCUACAAUGCUUUCAUUUUAUAAAAAAAAUUAAAGUUAUUUGAUAUUUCCAAGAAGUCGGUCCUACCAAUGUUAUGUUGCCAGAAUCUUCAUCAAGAGGUACAUAUUUUAAAUUUCAAAUUGGUACUGUUGACUAUAGGCACUUAAAGUUACUUGAAAAAAAUGCCUUGUAUUAUGUUUGUGGUUAUUUGUAUAGUAAGUGUUUAAGUCAACAUUCCUGUGAUUUAUGUAUUGAGUAUGGCAGGCCCCAAACAAAUUUAGAUUAAGUAUUUUUAUUAUGUUAUUUUAAAGCAUAUACAAAUACUGCACAGACAACUUACGGUAAUCUUCAAAUGCCCGAAAAUGAUUUUUAUGAAUACAUAUAUGAGAAUGAAAACAUAAUUAUUGAAAGAUUUCCUAUGUUUACAAUUGCUAAUUACUAACUUAUAUAUUAAAUGAAUUUUUAUGUAAUGUACUUUUUAAGCACCCAUGUCCAAAUUUUGAUUAUGUUUAUUUAAUUAAGUUAUUUGUAAGGUUUAGAAUAAUUUCUUUUGUUAAAUUUUUAAAUAGAGAAUUGGUUUCAGAACGCCAAUUUAAAAAUAGAAAACUGACAAUAAAACAUUUAUGAUUAAUAAUAAUAUAAUGUAAUGUGUAUCAUAUUUUAGGAAAAAUGUUAUUUAAUUGUUAUAUUUUGUUUUAUUGUUAUUAUUUGUACAAUUUGACAUAUAAGUAAUUACUUACCUAAUUUUUAAUGAUUUAAAAAAAAAUAAGUAAAAAUUAUAAAUAAAAAAUGUUUUAGUCUUAUUUCAGAGUACAUGCUGUCUAAUAUUUUAAAAAUAAUUAUUUAUUUAGUUUGUAAACUUAACAAGUUACAGCGUGUCAUUAUCAAAUGUCCACAAGCGUGGCUUCUAAUUGUAUUGUUAAUUGUUAUUUAAUUUUUAACAACUAUAUAUUUACUGAAUUAAAUUUACAGCUAUUCUAAUUAUAAAAUAAGUGUAAUUAUACAUUUGAAA